rnacentral:rRNA from 1 species
UACGUAGGUGGCAAGCGUUGUCCGGAUUUACUGGGCGUAAAGGGAGCGUAGGCGGAUACUUAAGUGGGAUGUGAAAUACCUGGGCUUAACUUGGGUGCUGCAUUCCAAACUGGGUGUCUAGAGUGUUGGAGAGGAAAGUGGAAUUCCUAGUGUAGCGGUGAAAUGCGUAGAGAUUAGGAAGAACACCAGUGGCGAAGGCGACUUUCUGGACAAUAACUGACGUUGAGGCUCGAAAGCGUGGGGAGCAAACAGGAUUAGAUACCCUGGUAGUCCACGCCGUAAACGAUGGGUACUAGGUGUAGGGGGUAUCGACUCCCCCUGUGCCGCCGUUAACACAAUAAGUACCCCGCCUGGGGAGUACGGUCGCAAGAUUAAA